rnacentral:tRNA from 1 species
UACGUUUUAGUAUAUUAUGUACAUGAAAGUUUGAUUUUCAGGGGGCAGUUUAAAGCUGCAAAAUGUGU